rnacentral:lncRNA from 1 species
GGAAGUGGACUUUGUUUAGGCCAGGUACCUCAUGAUAAACAGCACCUUUGUAAUCAAACACAGAUCGUCCAGCCUACGGAAGGUAAUCAGUAUCUAGUACCCCCCCUAGACACAGCAUGGGCCUGCAACACUGGUCUCACUCCUUGUGUAUCAACUUCUGUUUUCAAUACUUCCAAAGAUUACUGUAUUUUGGUUCAACUCGUUCCUAGGCUCCUAUAUCAUGAUGAUAGCUCUUUUAUAGAUGAGUUUGAUCACCGAGGUCGUUGGAAGAGAGAGCCUAUCACCUUGACCUUUGCAGUACUCAUGGGACUGGGGAUAGCGGCUGGAGUUGGUACGGGGGCCGCUGCAUUAAUUCAGACCCCCCAAUAUUAUGAGGAAUUACGAGCAGCUAUGGAUACUGACCUUAGAUCCAUAGAACAAUCUAUAACUAAACUAGAAGAGUCUUUAACCUCCCUGUCUGAAGUGGUACUACAGAAUAGAAGGGGACUAGAUUUAUUAUUCCUCAAAGAAGGGGGACUCUGUGCUGCUCUAAAAGAAGAAUGUUGUUUUUAUGUUGAUCAUUCUGGAGUAAUCAAGGAUUCGAUGGCUAAACUUAGAGAGCGCUUAGAUAUACGAAAAAAAGAAAGAGAAGAUAGACAGGGAUGGUUUGAAAGUUGGUUUAAUAAGUCCCCAUGGUUAACCACUCUCCUCUCUACUUUAGUUGGGCCCAUUAUAAUUCUCAUGCUUCUACUUACUUUCGGGCCAUGUAUAAUCAAUAGGCUGGUGACAUUUAUAAA